GAAAGUCCCCGUGCCUUGGUGCAGAACCUCCAGUGGUGAUGCUUCUCGUGGCGGGCGCGGGCCCUUAGCAGCAGCACAGACAUGCCGUGAGCGCUCAUGAUUGGAGCGCCAACAGAACGGGGCUCACCCUC
rnacentral:RNase_MRP_RNA from 14 species